GUUAAAAUGAGGAAAGGCUUACGGUGGAUACGUUGGCACCUAGAGACGAGUAAGGGCAUAGUAAUCGACGAAAUACUUCGGGGAGUUGAAAAUAAGCAUAGAUUCGGAGAUUCCCGAAUAGGGCAACCUUUCGAACUACUGCUGAAUCCAUCAGCAGGCAAGAGACAACCUGGUGAACUGAAACAUCUUAGUAACCAGAGGAAAAGAAAGAAAAAGUGAUUUUCGUAGUAGUGACGAGCGAAAUGGGAGCAUCCUAAACCGUGAAAACGGGAUUGUGGGAGAGCAAUACAAGCAUCAUGCUGGUAAGCGAAGCAGCCCGAAUGCUGCACCCUAGAUGGCGAAAGUCCAAUACCCGAAAGCAUCACUAGCUUAUGCUCUAACCCGAGUAGCAUGGGGCACGUGGAAUCUCUUAUGAAUCAGAAAGGACCACCUUGUAAGGCUAAAUACUCUUGGGUGACCGAUAGCGAAGUAGUACCGUAAGGGAAGGGUGAAAAGAACCCCCAUCGGGGAGUGAAAUAGAACAUGAAAUCGUAAGCUCCCAAGCAGUGGGAGGAGCCUGGGCUCUGACCGCGUGCCUGUUGAAGAAUGAGCCGGCGACUCAUAGUAGUGGCUUGGUUAAGGAAAUCACCGGAGCCGUAGCGAAAGCGAGUCUUCACAGGCCAAUUGUCACUGCUUAUGGACCCGAACCUUGGUGAUCUAUCUAUGACCAGGAUGAAGCUUGGGUGAAACAAAGUGGAGGUCCGAACCGACUGAUGUUGAAGAAUCAGCGGAUGAGUUGUGGUUAGGGGUGAAAUGCCACUCGAACCUAGAGCUAGCUGGUUCUCCCCGAAAUGCGUUGAGGCACAAUAGUUGACUGGACAUCUAGGGGUAAAGCCUGUUUUGGUGCGGGCCGCGAGAACGGUACCAAAUCGAGGCAAACUUUGAAUACUAGAUAUGACCUCAAAAUAAUAGGGGUCAAGGUCGGCUAGUGAGACAAUGGGGGAUAAGCUUCAUCGUCGAGAGGGAAACAAACUAGAUCACCAGCUAAGGCCCCUAAAUGAUCGCUCAGUGAUAAAGGAGGUAGGGGUGCAGAGACAACCAGGAGGUUUGCCUAGAAGCAACCACCCUUGAAAGAGUGCGUAAUAGCUCACUGAUCGAGAUCUCUUACAGGAAGAUGAAUGGGGAUAAGCGAUCUGCUGAAGAUGUGGGAUGUAAAAAUACAUCGGUAGGGGAGCGUUCUGCCUUAGAGAGAAGCCUCCGUGCGAGCGGUGGUGGACUUUGCGGAAGUGAGAAUGUCAGCUUGAGUAACGCAAACAUUGGUGAGAAUCCAAUGCCUCGAAAACCUAAGGGUUCCUCUACAAGGUUCAUCCAUGGAAUGUGAGUCAGGACCUAAGAUCAGGCCGAAAGGCGUAGUCGAUGGACAACAGGUGAAUAUUCCUGUACUGCCCCGUGUUGGUCCCGAUAGACGGAGGAGGCUAGGUUAGCCGAAAUAUGGUUAUCAGCUCAAGAAAGUAAGGUGUCCCUGCUUUGUCAUGGUAAGAAGGGGUAGAGAAAAUGCCUCGACCCAAUGUUCUAAUACCAGGCGCUACGGCGCUGAAGUAACCCAUGCCAUACUCCCAGGAAAAGCUCGAACAACUUUGAGCAAGAGGGUACCUGUACCCGAAACCGACACAGGUGGGUAGGUAGAGAAUACCUAGGGGCGCGAGACAAAUCUCUAUAAGGAACUCGGCAAAAUAGCCCCGUAACUUCGGGAGAAGGGGUGCCUCCUCACAAAGGGGGUCGCAGUGACCAGGCCCGGGCGACUGUUUACCAAAAACACAGGUCUCCGCAAAGUCUUAAUACGAUGUAUAGGGUCUGACGCCUACCCAGUGACGGAAGGUCAAGGAAGUUGGUGACUUGAUGAUAGGGGAGCCGGUGAUCGAAGCCCCGGUAAACGGCAGCCGUAACUAUAACGAUCCUAAGGUAGCAAAAUUCCUUGUCGGGUAAGUUCUGACCCGCACGAAAGGCAUAACGAUCUGGGCACUGUCUCGAAGAGAGGCUCGGUGAAAUAGACAUGUCUGUGAAGAUGCGGACUACCUACACCUGGACAGAAAGACCCUAUGAAGCUUCACUGUUCCCUAGGACUGGCUUUGGGCCUUUCCUGCGUAGCUUAGGUGGAAGGCGAAGAAGACCUCCUUCUGGGGGGGGGGGAGCCAUCAGUGAGAUACCACUCUGGAAGGGCUAGAAUUCUAACCUUAUGUCAGGACCUACGGGCCAAGGGACAGUCUCAGGUAGACAGUUUCUAUGGGGUGUAGGCCUCGCAAAAUGUAACGAAGGCGUGCAAAGGUUUCCUCGGGCCGGACGGAGAUUGGCCCUCGAGUGCAAAGGGAUCUUGACUGCAAGACCCACCGUCGAGCAGGGAUGAAAGUCGGCCUUAGUGAUCAGAUGGUGCCGAGUGGAAGGGCCGUCGCUCAAUGGAUAAAAGUUACUCUAGGGAAAAUAGGAUGAUCUUCCCCAAGAGCUCGCAUUGACGGGAAGGUUUAGCACCUCGAUGUCGGCUCCUCGCCACCUGGGGCUGUAUUAUGUUCCAAGGGUUGGGUUGUUCGCCCAUUAAAGCGGUACGUGAGCUACGUUUAAAACGUCACGAGGCAGUUCGGUCCAUAUCCAGUGCGGGCGUUAGAGAAUUGAUAGGACCUUUCCCUAGUACGAGAGGACCGGGAAGGACGCACCUCUGGUGUACCAGUUAUCGUGCCCACGGUAAACGCUGGGUAGCCAAGUGCGGAGUGGAUAACUACUGAAAGCAUCUAAGUAGUAAGCCCACCCCAAGAUGAGUGCUCUCCUAUUCUGACUUCCCCAUAGCCUCCGGUAGCACAGCCGAGACAACGACGGGUUCUCUACCCCUGCGGGGUUGGAGCGACAGAACUUUUUUUAAGAAUUCAAGAGAAGGUCACGGCAAGAUGAGCCGUUUAUCAUUACGAUAGGUGUCAAGUGGAAGUUUAGUGAUGUAUGCAGCUGAGGCAUCCUAACAGACCGGUAUACUUGAACCU
rfam:Nicotiana sylvestris Nsyl_contig116608, whole genome shotgun sequence.